rnacentral:lncRNA from 1 species
GGAACCCAGGCCCUUCCGGUCCGGCAGCUCCUGCUGCGACUUGCAGCGUUUGGGGAAAGUUACUCACCAACUAGUCAUGCGCCUCGGAUGCCGCCGGCCACGGGGCUCCCGGAGGGGGGUCCGACACCGCCCGGUGCCCGGGAUCCCCAAUCUGGCCGGUGGAUGAGGCCCCAUCCCAUGCACCCGAGUGCGGGGGACGGGGGGGUUAAUAUUAAUUCAGGAUCCCAUCCCCACCCGAGGCAGGACACCCAGUGCACGCCCCAACUCCGGGACGCGGGCUCUGACCCUGGAACUUCCGAGAUUCCCGCGACGCCCCCUGUCUCUGGGUCCAGAACUUCGGGGGACACCUCUUCUGCCUCCUCCAACCCCAGAGAUGGGGUGUCACUAUGUUGCCCAGGCUGGUCUCCAACUCCUGGACUCAAGAGAUCUGCCUGCCUCAGCCUCUCAAAGGGCUGGGAUAACAGAUGUAAGCCACUGCAUCUGGCCUCCAAUGAGUUGUUAUGUGAAGAGAACGUGAUUGUAGAAGUUAGAGGACUCCAACCAGGCCUGAACUCUCAAGGACAGAAAUGGGUCCAACCUGGCAUGACAUCCUCUAAAUCUUUAGCUCCUGGCCUCUCAGGUGCCCCCUCCAGCUACCUCCCUCUUCCUUCUCUUCAUUCCCCAAGCCAUAGCUGGUUGGGCCAACCUCCAGACAUUAGCCUCUUUGCAAACUCCUAUUCAUCCCUCAAAGCCUCACCUUCAAUGCUCUCCUCCCCAAGAAGCUCUCUCCUCUACCUCUAGACCUUUUCCAGCCCUCUUCCCUCUUUCUGGCCCAGCCCUGACUCCUGGGAGUGUCUGUGUGCAGCUUUGACUCCCCCAGCCUGAGUGUCUCUCAAGGGCUGAGACCAGGGCCCAUGUUUCCCUAGAGUUUGUCAUCUUCCAGCAUAGUGUGGACGCAUGGGGGUCAGGCAAAGGGGGAGUUUGAUGACUCAGUACUAUUGGUGAUUUUGCAUCACUUGAAGGAGACCCUGCCUUAAAUUCAGAACUUGA